rnacentral:rRNA from 1 species
UCGGGAAUUUUGGGCAAUGGGCGAAAGCCUGACCCAGCAACGCCGCGUGAGGGAUGAAGUAUUUCGGUAUGUAAACCUCGAAAGAAUGGGAAGAAUAAAUGACGGUACCAUUUAUAAGCUCCGGCUAACUACGUGCCAGCAGCCGCGGUAAUACGUAGGGAGCAAGCGUUGUUUGGAUUUACUGGGCGUAAAGGGCGCGUAGGCGGCGCGGUAAGUCACUUGUGAAAUCUCUGAGCUUAACUCAGAACGGCCAAGUGAUACUGCUGUGCUAGAGUGCGGAAGAGGCAACCGGAAUUCUUGGUGUAGCGGUGAAAUGCGUAGAUAUCAAGAGGAACACCUGAGGCGAAGGCGGGUUGCUGGGCCGACACUGACGCUGAUGCGCGGAAGCCAGGGGAGCAAACG